CCAAUAGCGUAUAUUAAAGUUGUUGCAGUUAAAAAGCUCGUAGUUGAAUUUCGGGGUUCAUACGUUGGUCGGGCUUUUUGGUCUGUACUAGCGUAAUGGAUUCCUACCUUCUGAAUAACCGGCAUGUCAUUAAUUUGGUGCGCCGGGGAAGCAGGACUGUUACCUUGAAAAAAUUAGAGUGCUUAAAGCAGGCUAUCGCCUGAAUACAUUAGCAUGGAAUAAUGAAAUAGGACGGCAUGGUUCUAUUUUGUUGGUUUCUAGGUUCACCGUAAUGAUUAAUAGGGAUAGUUGGGGGCAUUAGUAUUCAAUUGUCAGAGGUGAAAUUCUUGGAUUUAUUGAAGACUAACUUCUGCGAAAGCAUUUGCCAAGGAUGUUUUCAUUAAUCAAGAACGAAAGUUAGGGGAUCGAAGACGAUCAGAUACCGUCGUAGUCUUAACCAUAAACUAUGCCGACUAGGGAUCGGACGAUGUUAAUUUUUUAAUGACUCGUUCGGCGCCUUACG
rnacentral:rRNA from 1 species